GACGAACGCUGGCGGCGUGCCUAAUACAUGCAAGUAGAACGCUGAAGGAGGAGCUUGCUUCUCUGGAUGAGUUGCGAACGGGUGAGUAACGCGUAGGUAACCUGCCUGGUAGCGGGGGAUAACUAUUGGAAACGAUAGCUAAUACCGCAUAAUAGUAGAUGUUGCAUGACAUUUACUUAAAAGGUGCAAUUGCAUCACUACCAGAUGGACCUGCGUUGUAUUAGCUAGUUGGUGGGGUAACGGCUCACCAAGGCGACGAUACAUAGCCGACCUGAGAGGGUGAUCGGCCACACUGGGACUGGGACACGGCCCAGACUCCUACGGGAGGCAGCAGUAGGGAAUCUUCGGCAAUGGACGAAAGUCUGACCGAGCAACGCCGCGUGAGUGAAGAAGGUUUUCGGAUCGUAAAGCUCUGUUGUAAGAGAAGAACGAGUGUGAGAGUGGAAAGUUCACACUGUGACGGUAUCUGACCAGAAAGGGACGGCUAACUACGUG
rnacentral:rRNA from 1 species